rnacentral:rRNA from 1 species
GACGAACGCUGGCGGCGUGCUUAACACAUGCAAGUCGAACGAAGUGGCGAACGGGUGAGUAACGCGUAAUCAACCUGCCCUUCAGAGGGGGACACCAGUUGGAAACGACUGCUCAUAACGCAUACUGAAGGAGGGGAUUGAGGGUGAUUAGAUAGUUGGAGGGGUAACGGCCAAACAAGGCGAUGAUCAGUAGCCGGGCUGAGAGGAUGAACGGCCACAUUGGGACGGAGACACGGCCCAGACUCCUACGGGAGGCAGCAGUGGGGAAUCUUCCGCAAUGGACGAAAGUCUGACGGAGCAACGCCGCGUGAGUUAUGACGGCCUUCGGGUUGUAAAGCUCUGUUAAUCGGGACGCGGUACCGGAAUAGAAAGCCACGGCUAACUACGUGCCAGCAGCCGCGGUAAUUC